GGUUAAGCGACUAAGCGUACACGGUGGAUGCCCUGGCAGUCAGAGGCGAUGAAGGACGUGCUAAUCUGCGAUAAGCGUCGGUAAGGUGAUAUGAACCGUUAUAACCGGCGAUUUCCGAAUGGGGAAACCCAGUGUGUUUCGACACACUAUCAUUAACUGAAUCCAUAGGUUAAUGAGGCGAACCGGGGGAACUGAAACAUCUAAGUACCCCGAGGAAAAGAAAUCAACCGAGAUUCCCCCAGUAGCGGCGAGCGAACGGGGAGCAGCCCAGAGCCUGAAUCAGUGUGUGUGUUAGUGGAAGCGUCUGGAAAGGCGCGCGAUACAGGGUGACAGCCCCGUACACAAAAAUGCACAUGCUGUGAGCUCGAUGAGUAGGGCGGGACACGUGGUAUCCUGUCUGAAUAUGGGGGGACCAUCCUCCAAGGCUAAAUACUCCUGACUGACCGAUAGUGAACCAGUACCGUGAGGGAAAGGCGAAAAGAACCCCGGCGAGGGGAGUGAAAAAGAACCUGAAACCGUGUACGUACAAGCAGUGGGAGCACGCUUAGGCGUGUGACUGCGUACCUUUUGUAUAAUGGGUCAGCGACUUAUAUUCUGUAGCAAGGUUAACCGAAUAGGGGAGCCGAAGGGAAACCGAGUCUUAACUGGGCGUUAAGUUGCAGGGUAUAGACCCGAAACCCGGUGAUCUAGCCAUGGGCAGGUUGAAGGUUGGGUAACACUAACUGGAGGACCGAACCGACUAAUGUUGAAAAAUUAGCGGAUGACUUGUGGCUGGGGGUGAAAGGCCAAUCAAACCGGGAGAUAGCUGGUUCUCCCCGAAAGCUAUUUAGGUAGCGCCUCGUGAAUUCAUCUCCGGGGGUAGAGCACUGUUUCGGCAAGGGGGUCAUCCCGACUUACCAACCCGAUGCAAACUGCGAAUACCGGAGAAUGUUAUCACGGGAGACACACGGCGGGUGCUAACGUCCGUCGUGAAGAGGGAAACAACCCAGACCGCCAGCUAAGGUCCCAAAGUCAUGGUUAAGUGGGAAACGAUGUGGGAAGGCCCAGACAGCCAGGAUGUUGGCUUAGAAGCAGCCAUCAUUUAAAGAAAGCGUAAUAGCUCACUGGUCGAGUCGGCCUGCGCGGAAGAUGUAACGGGGCUAAACCAUGCACCGAAGCUGCGGCAGCGACGCUGAUGCGUUGUUGGGUAGGGGAGCGUUCUGUAAGCCUGCGAAGGUGUGCUGUGAGGCAUGCUGGAGGUAUCAGAAGUGCGAAUGCUGACAUAAGUAACGAUAAAGCGGGUGAAAAGCCCGCUCGCCGGAAGACCAAGGGUUCCUGUCCAACGUUAAUCGGGGCAGGGUGAGUCGACCCCUAAGGCGAGGCCGAAAGGCGUAGUCGAUGGGAAACAGGUUAAUAUUCCUGUACUUGGUGUUACUGCGAAGGGGGGACGGAGAAGGCUAUGUUGGCCGGGCGACGGUUGUCCCGGUUUAAGCGUGUAGGCUGGUUUUCCAGGCAAAUCCGGAAAAUCAAGGCUGAGGCGUGAUGACGAGGCACUACGGUGCUGAAGCAACAAAUGCCCUGCUUCCAGGAAAAGCCUCUAAGCAUCAGGUAACAUCAAAUCGUACCCCAAACCGACACAGGUGGUCAGGUAGAGAAUACCAAGGCGCUUGAGAGAACUCGGGUGAAGGAACUAGGCAAAAUGGUGCCGUAACUUCGGGAGAAGGCACGCUGAUAUGUAGGUGAGGUCCCUCGCGGAUGGAGCUGAAAUCAGUCGAAGAUACCAGCUGGCUGCAACUGUUUAUUAAAAACACAGCACUGUGCAAACACGAAAGUGGACGUAUACGGUGUGACGCCUGCCCGGUGCCGGAAGGUUAAUUGAUGGGGUUAGCGCAAGCGAAGCUCUUGAUCGAAGCCCCGGUAAACGGCGGCCGUAACUAUAACGGUCCUAAGGUAGCGAAAUUCCUUGUCGGGUAAGUUCCGACCUGCACGAAUGGCGUAAUGAUGGCCAGGCUGUCUCCACCCGAGACUCAGUGAAAUUGAACUCGCUGUGAAGAUGCAGUGUACCCGCGGCAAGACGGAAAGACCCCGUGAACCUUUACUAUAGCUUGACACUGAACAUUGAGCCUUGAUGUGUAGGAUAGGUGGGAGGCUU
rnacentral:rRNA from 1 species